rnacentral:rRNA from 1 species
GGUACCGUCAAGUCCGUUGGGUAUUAUCCAACAAACCCAUCGUUCCCACCGACAGAGCUUUACGAUCCGAGGACCUUCAUCACUCACGCGGCGUUGCUGCGUCAGGCUUUCGCCCAUUGCGCAAUAUUCCCCA